CCCCUCUCAGGGUUGCAUCUGGAGAGUUUCCAGUACUCUACCAGUCUCGACUGUGGGAGGGAGGGUCAAGCAGAGGCCUCUCCAUUCCAUUCUUAGCUUGGCCAGUGGCUAGCGAGUGGACGGCAAUCUGUUACAGGU